ACAAUGGAGAGUUUGAUCCUGGCUCAGGAUGAACGCUAGCUACAGGCUUAACACAUGCAAGUCGAGGGGAAACGGCAUUGAGUGCUUGCACUCUUUGGACGUCGACCGGCGCACGGGUGAGUAACGCGUAUCCAACCUUCCCAUUACUGUGGGAUAACCUGCCGAAAGGCAGACUAAUACCGCAUAGUCUUCGAUGACGGCAUCAGAUUUGAAGUAAAGAUUUAUCGGUAAUGGAUGGGGAUGCGUCUGAUUAGCUUGUUGGCGGGGUAACGGCCCACCAAGGCAACGAUCAGUAGGGGUUCUGAGAGGAAGGUCCCCCACAUUGGAACUGAGACACGGUCCAAACUCCUACGGGAGGCAGCAGUGAGGAAUAUUGGUCAAUGGACGGAAGUCUGAACCAGCCAAGUAGCGUGCAGGAUGACGGCCCUAUGGG
rnacentral:rRNA from 1 species